rnacentral:rRNA from 1 species
UAGAAUUUAAAUUAUUGGAAUUUUUUUAGAUUAUGACCUUUUUGUAUUACGGUUUUUAGGAAGCUAGAAAAAAAUUCUUAUCUCAAAAAAAAAAGAUUUAGGUUUAAUUAAAAUUUAAGUUUUAUUCUAUUUAAUUAAUAAAUGUUUUAGAAUGAGUUAAAAUUUGACUUAGAAGAGAAAUUUUUUCGAUUUUUUUUAUUUAGUUAUGAAAGUGAAUUAAAAAGUAAAAGCUUUUUAAAAAAAUUUUGUGAAAAAUUUAAAGUAGUUUAAUUUUAUAAAAUUUCAUAUUGAUUUAUUUUUUUUAAUAAAAAAUAUAAUUCUUAAACGGGAAAGAUUUCAAAAUUUCCUAAGUACUUAUUUAUUCUCGAAAGGAAAUUAAAGAAUGAGUAUAUAAAAAUAUAAUAAAGAAUUAAAUUGGCUUUCCGACUGUUUAUUAAAAACAUUUCCUUUUUUUUAAAAGGUAUUCUCUGCUCAAUGAAUGAAGUUUGUUUAAAUUGCUGCAGUAUAUUGACUGUGCAAAGGUAGCAUAAUUAUUUGUCUGUUAAAUGUAGAAUUGUUUGAAAGAGAAAUACGAGAUAGAAUUUUUUUUAUUAGUUAUAAGUUUAUUUGGGAAAUUAUAUAAGUAGUGAAGAUACUGCUAAAGAAAAAAUUAAGACGAAAAGACCCUAAAGAGUUUUUUAUUUUAUGUUUGGAAUAAAACAAAAAAUUUUUAAUGGGGAAUUAGGAAAUAAAUUGUUUUUAAAGAGUUAUCAAGAAAACUUCCUUAGGGAUAACAGGGCAAUAAAACUUAAGAGUUCUUAUCAAAAGUUUUGUUUACUACCUCGAUGUUGAAUCAUAAUUAAAUUUAGGUGAAGGUGUUUAAAAUUUUAGUCUGUUCGACUAUUAAAAUUAUUCGUGAUUUGAGUUUAGACCGAUGUAAAUCAGGUUGGUUUUUAUCUAAUAAUAAAAGUGUUGUACGAAAGGACUCAUCUUUUUUUU